CAGUUUUCACAGCCAAACGAAGCAGCUUAAGGAGAUAAUGGUGACAGGCUGGGAAGAUGUUGCUAUGGCAACACAGCAGCAGGUCUCUCUUGGGAUGCUGCGUCAAAUAGCAUACACACUACAGAUGAUGUCAUCCGGUAUCUUUUUGGCCUCCUCAGGUCUGGCAUAUUUUCCCUCCUGCUCAGACUCACCUAAGAUAACUGAAUUCAGCUUCAGGAGAAAAUCCCGCCAGACACCUGGUGGGUGAUCCGUCCUUGGUAUGGCUAUCUCACCAUGGUGACGCUACCUGAUGCAGCCUCUGCUAAGCCCGGCAGGCUCUGCUCUUCAGAUGCUAGCUUUGUUUCCAGAGCUAAUUAACGCCAGGCUACACCAGUGUGCUGUGAAGUUCCCUGAAGCUUCCUGGGCCCAACCACCUGCUCUUCCACCUCUUCCUGGUUUCCCUCCUUUCCUCAAGCAGGAUGCUGUUCUGAUCUUGCCUGCGACCUAGCCCUCGAUGCAAAUGUAUGCUACAUAGUAAUCGUGUGUGUGUGUGUGUGUGUGUGUGUGUGUGUGUGUGUGUGUGUGUGUAUACUUGGAACAAAAGAUGAAUGAGACAAUAUUUACCCUCACUGUGUAAAUGAAAAUCUUUCCCAUAUCACACAGAAGAGAGCACAUUAUUUUCUCUAUCACAUAUGCUAUUUGGAUGGCCAUACCUACUUGAUUACAUGACCCCAGUGGUUUCGUAUUUGGGAUGCCCUGUUCAAGUCAUGUGCCUGACAAGUGAUGGCUCAGACCCCUCUCUCCUCCCUCCCCAUUCCAAGGCUGAAUGGGAGGGGCUAGCUGAUGUCAUUCUUUCAGGGAGUAUACCAAAGAUGAUGCAGACAGGAAGUCCUUCCUUCCCUCCCAUUGUCCACAGGUUCGUAAGAUGCUUACCUUCAUUGUUUGGCCAAUGAUCAAAAGAGGAGGACUUUGUAAGCCUUAAUAACUCAUUAAAAAGAACACAGCCAAACUUGUUUGUUAAUAUAGAUCCAUUACACUCUCUCUCUCUCUCUCUCUCCCCCCCCCCCCUUUCCUCCUCAUCUCUGUCCCUUUCUUUUUAUUAGAAGAAUACUGGAUAUCCAACAUAGGGCUUCAUUUGUGCAAAGCAGAGGCUCUACCACAGCCUAGCAUAAAAGUCUUGGAAGAAAUUCAAGAUAAAGCGUGUGGAAAGGAUUAAUAUAUAUCUACUUCUGAUUCUUAAGUUAAGUCUUGUUUGGGACCAGGAUACUAAAUCAACACCUAUUUCCCCAAAUCCACUAAGCUACUAGACUUUGUCAUCAAGAUGCAGUGAUAACUGGGGGUGGGGUGGUGGUGGUAUACAUUCAGCACCUGGGCUCUGGGCUCAGCAGAGUUGCUUCAAGUCUAAAGCUAGCCUGGGCUACAUAAUGAAACCCUGUCUUGCUCGACCUAACAAACAAACGGAUGACAAAGGUUCAGUGGUGACUGCAGCAAAUAUUUUUAAAAGUUCAAAUAAAAAGUUAGGAAGAGUUAAGCCACACUUUGGAGAGAAGCAGAAAUUUGAUCUUGAGUUUGACAGUAUACCUGUUUGAUCAUGAGUUAGUAGAUCAGCUGGUAUGGCUACAAUCUCAGACUUAGCCUCCAUGUGAGUCAAAUAAAUACUCUACCCUCAGGCACUGUGGUGCACAUACACGCAGACAAAAUACCCAUACACAUAAAAGAAAUCUAGCAUUUUUGGUUUUGAGCCUAACCUUUAGUGGUUGAGCCAUCUUUCCAGCCUAAACUAAUUAAACAAAUCAAAACCCCAAGGCAUUUAAUUGGAUGUUUUUGCUAUUGGCUUCUGCCAGUCAUAAUUAGGAUUUCUAUUGCUUUGAUGAAACACCAUAACCAAACAGGAAGUUGGUAGGGAAUUAUUUGGAAUAACUCGGUAUUCAUCAUGAAGGAAGUCAGGACAGGAGCUCAAACAGGGCAGGAACCUGGAGGCAGGAGCUGCUGCAGGGGCCAUGGAGGGUGCUGCUUACUGGUUAACCUGCUUUCUUACAGAACCCAGAACCACCAGCUUAGGGAUGGCACCACCCACAGCAGACUGGGCUCUCCCCACAUUGAUCACCAAUUAAGAAAAUGUCUUAAAGCUGGAUCUUAGGGAGGCGAUUUCUCAGUUAAGGUUUGCUCCUUACUCUAGCUUGUGUCGGGCUGACAGACGAGCCAGCCAGCACACUGCCCCUCCCCCACCGAAUACCCCAGCCUUCACUUGCUCACGUGGCAGGCCCCUGCCUUCUGGAGGAAUCUCAGUGAUCCUGAGAGGCAGGAAGAUGUUUUAGGGUUCCAUCACUCUGACAAAAUACCCGUGGAAAUGAGAAAGGAAAGAUUUAUCUGGGCUCCCAGUUUCAUAGUGGAGCAGGGUAUGUGGACAGCUGAACUUGUGCCGGGUCAGAUGGCAGCAGAAGGGCCUGCCUGCGGGAUGGAAGCCUCCCUUCUCAGAUGCUGCCACGUGGCCUGAUAUUCUUUUGCCACUCUCUUUGCUGGCAGCCCAUGCUCCUGGUGGCUCCUCAUGCAUGCGUGUGUCCGUGUAGCCACGUUUCCUCUCACAAGGACAGUGGGUUAGAUCGGGGCCCAUUCUGUGAUCUCAUUUAACUCAGUGGGCCUCUUUCAAGGACCUGUCUCCAAAUGCAACCAUAUUCUGAGGUGCUGAGGUUGGGGCUUCAACUUGUGACUACUGGGGACCGAGACUCAGCCUGAAAAUUCUCUAAAGCCAGGCCAUAGAUAAAGCUGCAGGUAUUGGGAUGCUGUGCUCCUUUUGGGGCAAGCAAAAUGCUCACAGCUUGAUUAUGGUGAUAAUCGCACAUCUCUGGAAAAACCCCACCGAAAGCCCACUGAGUCACAGGCUUUCAAGGGGGGAGUUUUGAGUAUAUGAAUCACAUACCUCAAUUUUUAAAACUAUUUUUAAUUAUGUAUAUACAUGUCUGUCUCUGUAUGUUCCUGUGCAUGCAGUCGGAGGCCAGAGGCAUUAGAUACCUCUGGAGCUGGUGGUUGGGAGCUGGGUCCUCUGUAAGAGCAUGCACGCUCUUAAUCUCGGAGGUGUCUAUCCAGUUCCUGUUUCAACCUUCUGUAUAAGAAAGCAUCCUGCAAAAGGUCAAGAAGGGGUUAUAUAGGUGGCUAUGGGGGAAGAGAAGGGAAGGGAAGGGUGGAAUCUGAAGCCCUGUGAUAGCAGUCUGCGAUGACUGCCAGUCUCCCACAUAAGCCCUAAGAAUGCUCUGCCCCCAUUGCCAGCGUCUUUGACAAACCACCUGCCAGGACUUCUUUCCACCAUCCAACACCCCUCAGCCCCGUUGCUCAGCUACAGAAAACAGAGCAUGGUUUGCUGCUGGGAAUCACAAAGCCAAGAAACAGAAGGAGCGCGCUUGGUGGGAGGGGGCUGGGCUGGAGGCGGAGCAUGUGGCCAGCCAGAGCCAGGCAGCGGCUGUGGUCCUGUAGCCCCUCCCUGCCUAGAGGAUGCGGCUGCUGGGCUUAGAAAAGCAACUUCCUUUCCAGGGGCGUCUGGGAGACUCAGAAUUGUCUUGCCUGCUUCCUCACUUUCUGUAACUGUUCCUGUGGUUUGCCCACUUUGAGCCUCAGCCAGUUUGCAGCAUCAAGGAGCUGCUGCUUCAGUGUACUCUGUGAAAGGGCUCUCUGCCUGUGUUUCCUAACUGCUUCCAGAACUGGCUUGUGCAUCUUUUUGUUUUGGGGUACACACAGGCACAGGCAAGCUAACUGUCCAACACGUCACAGUAUAAAAAAAGUCUAACUCUGUUUUUAAAAUGCUGUAAUUUUAAAAUUGACGCACAUUUUUGUUGUUGUUGUUGUUCCUGUGACAGGAUGGCCCAGAUCUUGAGAGACCAUUUUAAAACGCCAAAGAAACACAGGGGGUGUCACACCCAAGUGGAGGACAAAGAGAAGGCAGCACAGCAGACCUUGCCGGAACAGUCGCAGCCCGAAGCUUGGUCAGCAUCCCCGCCCAAGGCUUCAACCAGGUUCCCUUCCAGGUCCAACGCCUACCUGGUAAGACAGAAUCCCGGUAAGACGUGUACUCCUGAGAGCAGGAACACGCUGAGCAUCCCAAAGGCCCAGAAAAGGGGGCGCUGCUUCCUGCUGUGCCAGGCGGGCAUUUGUCACAAAUCCCUCCACCAGAGACAACCGCCAAUCACUUGCCCAACAGGCAGAGGGGAGGGAGACCCAACACCUCUACCUAAGCUCUAUACACCGAUUAUAGGGUUGCAAAACGAGCUGACCAAAUGUGGGAUCUUGAAGAACAUGAGCGACGACGAGGAUUUCUGGAAACUGGUUCAGGAGGAAGCUCUUGGAGUGGGAACUAAAGAAAAGCUCCAGAAGAUAAAACUUAAGUUGAUGAAUCCCAGGCCCUGGCCACCAGCUGCUUCCAGGAGAAGGGAGACCGAGAUGCUGGUCAGCAGUGAUCAAGACAGUGGGGCACGCCAGGGAACACAGCAGGACCAUCCAGGGAGAGAACAGGAAGUUGUGGAGGAUGGCCCGGAGAAGGAGAGGAUAAAACAGGGCCCGCACCAACCUGGCUUGGAUCCACCCAAGCAUCGAGGGGACACAGCGAGUCUUCUCGCUCGGCUCACGGAAUGGAGAAAAAGAUGCCAACAGCAUGGAGCUGCCCAGAGGCUGCAUCGAGGACCUGAGGAGAGCAAGACUAUGUGUAAGACAAGGACGGAUUCCCAAAGCAAGAUGUAUCUUAGCCGGUUGUAUCGGAUGUAUUCCACCUCCCUUGCUAACAUGGAAUUCUCCAGAAAACUGCUGGAAAGAGAUGGCCGCUUUGCAGACAUGGAUGCUGAGCACAGGGCCCGAAGCCUGGUCAGUGUCCUGUGGGCCCAGGGGUAGCAGGCAUCCCUCCUGCUUGGAAGUAGAUUUGGGAGGUACAGAGGGAGCUGGGAUGGGAGGUAUUUUGUCUCCUGGCUGCAAGAUCCAGUUCCAUUUUCCUGGAAUUGUUACUCAAAUCAGGACCUUUUGUGGCAGUGGCCAGGGACAGAAAGACAGGUCCAUUUGGGUUGUAGUGAAGUACACUCUGAAGUCUAGGGGUAGAGAUUCACUGAGUUAAUAGAGUAUUUGCCUAGCAUGCAGAAAACCUUGGGCUUAAAGCCCAGCAUCAUAUGAACAGGGCAUGAUGGCAGGUACCUGUAAUCUUAGCACUUGAAGGGCUAGAGGCAGGAAAAUUGAGAGUUCAGAGUCACCCUAAGUUACACCAUGAGUGUAAGGCCAGCCUGGGAUACCUGAGGACUCUGUCUCAAAAGAAAAUGAUCAAAUCCACCUUAAAAACAGUAUAGAGCCCAAACCACUUCACCUUCCUUCCUCUGGUCUUCUGCUUGUUCCUACGCUGCACUGGGUCAGUAGGACUGGUUAUAGAGAAGAGAUGGACUCACGUAGCAAGCAUGAAGGUGGACCCAAGUGGUAGUUGUUGGUUAUAAGCUGGAUUACAUGGUCCCAAGAGAACGUACACAGGCAGAUGUUCCACCAAGAGAACGUACACAGGCAGAUGUUCCACCAAGGGAACUAGA